GGGCUAUCAACAAUGUAGGUAGGGUACUGGCAACAGUGCUCUGCUGAAAUAUUUUCACCCAUGUCUUUUGCGCACUUUUUGUUUCCUGGGCGAGUUUGCUCGCCACCAGGACCCCCAUAUGAACCUUUUUUGUUUUUGCACUCAGCGUCAGUACAAUAAUUUAAUCUAUUAAAACUUUCAACAACGGAUCUCUUGGUUCUGGCAUCGAUGAAGAACGCAGCGAAAUGCGAUACGUAGUGUGAAUUGCAGAAUUCAGUGAAUCAUCGAACCUUUGAACGCACAUUGCGCCCUUUGGUAUUCCAAAGGGCAUGCCUGUUCGAGCGUCAUUUGUACCCUCAAGCUUUGCUUGGUGUUGGGCGUCUUAUUGUCUCUCCGUCUCGGGGAGACUCGCCUUAAAACAAUUGGCAGCCGGCCUACUGGUUUCGGAGCGCAGCACAAAUUUGCGCUUGCAAUCAGCCAAGGGCGGCAUCCAUGAAGCCUUUUUUCUCUCACAUUUUGACCUCGGAUCAGGUAGGGAUACCCGCUGAACUUAAGCAUAUCAAAA
rnacentral:rRNA from 1 species